rfam:Brassica oleracea var. oleracea cultivar TO1000 chromosome C2, whole genome shotgun sequence
AGAAUAUAAGAACCCGACUCUUAACUUUUAACUGAAAAUGUUAAGAGCCGGCUCUUAACAUUUUCAGUUAAAAAUUAAGAGUCGGAUUCUUAUAUUCC